UAGCAUCGUUAAAAGACCGGUUUCCGUACAAUCACCAAAGUUAAGCAACAUGGGGUCUGGUCAGUACCUAGGUGGGUGACCGCUUGGGAAUACCAGAUGCUGUAAG